rnacentral:rRNA from 1 species
AAAAACUCCGGUGGUGUGAGAUGGAUCCGCGUCUGAUUAGCCAGUUGGCGGGGUAACGGCCCACCAAAGCGACGAUCAGUAGCCGGCCUGAGAGGGUGACCGGCCACAUUGGGACUGAGACACGGCCCAAACUCCUACGGGAGGCAGCAGUGGGGAAUAUUGCACAAUGGGCGAAAGCCUGAUGCAGCGACGCCGCGUGAGUGAAGAAGUAUUUCGGUAUGUAAAGCUCUAUCAGCAGGGAAGAAAAUGACGGUACCUGACUAAGAAGCCCCGGCUAACUACGUGCCAGCAGCCGCGGUAAUACGUAGGGGGCAAGCGUUAUCCGGAUUUACUGGGUGUAAAGGGAGCGUAGACGGCGAAGCAAGUCUGAAGUGAAAACCCAGGGCUCAACCCUGGGACUGCUUUGGAAACUGUUUUGCUAGAGUGUCGGAGAGGUAAGUGGAAUUCCUAGUGUAGCGGUGAAAUGCGUAGAUAUUAGGAGGAACACCAGUGGCGAAGGCGGCUUACUGGACGAUAACUGACGUUGAGGCUCGAAAGCGUGGGGAGCAAACAGGAUUAGAUACCCUGGUAGUCCACGCC